rnacentral:rRNA from 1 species
AGGACGAACGCUGGCGGCGUGCCUAAAACAAGCAAGUCGAACGAGAUAGCAAUAUCUAGUGGCGAACGGCGGAGUAAUACAUAAGCAACGUGCCCCGAAGACUGGGAUAGCGGACCGAAAGGUCCAGUAAUACCGGAUGUGGCCCACUUAGGACAUCUUAGGUGGAUUAAAUGGUUUUUUCGAUUCGGGAGCGGCUUAUGACCUAUCAGCUUGUUAGGCGAGGUAACGGCUCACCAAGGCUACGACGGUAGGGGGUCUGAGAGGAUGAUCCCCCGAGUGGACUGAGACACGGCCCACACACCUACGGGUGGCAGCAGUUGGGAAUCUUGCACAAUGGGGGAAACCCUGAAGUGCAGCGACGCCGCGUGGGAGAUGACGGAUCGUAGGUCUUGUAAACUCCUUUUAGUACAGGUAAAGACUUAAGGACGGUAACCUGGAACGAAUAACGGACGACUAACUACGU